rnacentral:lncRNA from 1 species
AUCUGACCAAUGAACGAAAAUCCAAUGGACAAGAAUGUCAUAUAGAAACCCAAAUUUCCCUUGGACUUUAGAAUCAAGCAAUACUAAUACACAAAUAGCAAUAUUAAGAGCAAGGCAUCAAAUAAAUAUAGCCACAUCCAAGCUUAGCAACUCCAUGAUCUUCUUCCAAAUUCCCAUGUAUCAGAUGACUUCAAAGAUGGCAUUAGACACAGG